UUGUUUCGAUUUUAGUUCGG
rnacentral:snRNA from 1 species